rnacentral:rRNA from 1 species
CCGGGCGCACGGGUGAGUAACGCGUAUGCGACCUGCCCGUUGCAGGGGGAUAAUCGGGAGAAAUCCCGUCUAAUACCGCGUAACGCCGCGGGGCUGCAUGGCCCUGCGGCCAAAGGGAGCGAUUCCGGCAACGGAUGGGCAUGCGUGACAUUAGCUAGUUGGCGGGGCAACGGCCCACCAAGGCGACGAUGUCUAGGGGUUCUGAGAGGAAGGUCCCCCACACUGGUACUGAGACACGGACCAGACUCCUACGGGAGGCAGCAG